GGAGGUACGAAUGAGAGCGGCUUACCCAUUUGAGCAUUUUGAUUCCCUCGAACAACUUCAGCAGUAGUCGGAAGUGAUUUUGCAGAACCACUAGUUUCUGAGAAUUGCAGUCGUCGAGCAGCGAGACUAGCCGGCACUUCAACUUUGUCUAUCGGAGAUGGAUUAUCAGUCGCAACACCAUCUACAUGCAAUCUCCCUGUCGAUUGCAAUUUCUGUGGAAGGAAAUUUCCAAAGGUCAGAGGUUCCAAUUCCUUAGUAACACCAUGUGCAGGAGUGACAACUUGAGUGGUAGUGGGAGCCAAAUUCCGCCGGCAACGAGCCAUCAAUCGGGCACGACAACGAUCUUUCUAUCAUGCACCGAGAGCUCUGCUCGUCUCUGCUAGCAUGCACCGAGAGCUAUUGGUUACUUUUCAGGUGCCACCAUAUUAGUAUGAAAACAAUUGCACAGAGACCCUUUUUAAAAGGAAAGGUCAAUUCCAUAUCCAAGAGUGUAUUCUAGUAGUCGAUGAAACUAGAAUGAAAACUAUGGGACACCAGAGCUCGAAGCCUAGUAAUGACAAAAAGCUUUGUGAUUUCUUUCUGUCUGCCUAAGCUUUUAUAGAUAGAGUUACCGGUAACUGUACUGGCAUGAGAAUGCAUGUGUCCGGUAAAGUAGUCGAGGUGCGAUCAAGCUGACACAAACAUCAUAGUUGUCAAAAGAGAGAGAGAAGCCAAUUCACUACCUCAUUAGCUACAAAGUCCUCGUAAACAAAGAAUUUUGCUUCACAUGUGCAAUUACAUAAUUCCAAUUAUUGAAACCUCCAUAGAACAUCAAAACUAAACAUAGUUGCAAUCCCACACAAACACAUUACAAAUGCAAUACAGAUGAUUUUAUGUAAAAAUCUAAUAGAUAGAAAUAUCCUCAACUACUCAGUCCGUGAGUCCCAAAAAGAAUGAUGCAUUUCCAUAUUUAGUAGCAUUUUAACUUUAAAAUGCUUCAUUUACCCAUAAUAAAAUGAUUUAUAGUCACACAAAUAUCUCUGCCCCAUUUUAGAACACAAGUUUCAAAAGUUUGUCACAUAAAUUGGGAUGGAGGGAGAUUGCUGUAUUUGGACCAAUUAAAUAUAAAUGUUGCAUAAGAUAAAGAACUAAAGAGACUAAACAGGUGGAAUUUAGGUAUAAACCUCUUGGAUUGAUCGGAACAAAAAUUUAACUAAUGAGUAUUUGCAAAAAAAAAAAUAGAGUUACCGGCGGUGGAAGUGUUGUGUAAUCGAAAGGCAAAAGCCCACGAACCUACCGUUGAUAAUGGAGUUACCGGCGACGGGGAAGACAGUUCUCUUCGUCGUAACCCUCGAUGAGAUUUUUUUUUCCGAUAUUGGGGUAUUUGCUUGGAAGAAAAAGAAAAUGUGUCGGGUAUCUCCAAUCAUUGUGUACCAUUGCAAAGUAACUG
rnacentral:lncRNA from 1 species